CACCAACCCACCCCGCUGUGCCCGAUAUGCGGAGAGAGAGAGAGAGAGAUCUCCUCCCCUUCCAGAUCACCGCCGCCACCUCUCCUUCCCCUUCCCGACAACGCCAGAUCCGCGCGCCGCGCUCCCUCCACCUCCCACAGCAGAUCUAGCGCCCUGCAGCCUCGGCGUGGCGGCCGGCUGGCUCGCCGGCGCGCGCGUGCUUCGAUGCGCGCCGCUCCGUCGAGCUGGCCGGACCACGACGGCAUGCGACCUAGGGUUUGCGGGAUCCUCGGACGGCCGCCGUCCACCUCGCGCUGUAGGGACGGGUCCGUCGUCUCCUCGGAGGAGGGGACGGCCAUGUUCGUCGUGCUCCACCCUUGCAGUCUAUCCCGGCCUCCUCCUCUGGCAUCUCCGCGAGGGCGCCCGACACCAGGCAGGCCGUCGACGCGCCGGACCUCAAGGCCGGUCGUGCUGCUCCUUUUGCGUGCGUCCUUCCCCGACAACGUCCCCAUGGCUAGGGUUUCAGAUGCGAUGGCGCCUCCGUCGAUGAUGCGUCUCUGCACAAGAACGUGGAGAAGAUCAGGGACGGGGCCACCAACGAGACCAUCGCGCUCAAGAAGAUAUGCCUCCAGCAGGAGGACGAUGGCGUCCCCUCCACCGCCAUCCGCGAGAUCUCCCUCCUCAAGGAGAUGCAGCACUAGAACAUCGUCAGGCUGCAAGACGUGGUGCAUAACGAGAAGUCUCAAGUCUGAACAAUAGUGCACUUAACAAUAUCUGCCAGGCUAUUAGACGCUCCACUUCAUCCUUUUUGUAGACAAUAAGAAUUUUCAAUUCAUAGAAAUGCCACAGCUGGGAUUGGCAGUCCAAACUUCAGAGAAAAUUAUGGUUGCAGUCCCUUUUGAGCGUGUUAGAUUUUGAUUUCCAGCGUGCAACAUUUUAACUGGAUUUUAACUCCAACAAUAUGCAGCCAUGUAGGCUCGUUAAGAAUGCCAGCUUAUUUGAUUCCUUGCUUGGGCAUUCGUACUCCGUUCUGCCCUGAGCGGGGCAUGUUACACAUACCUACUUGUUCUGCAAUAACCAAUGAAGUUGUAUUAUUGAGUGAGUUUAGAAUCAUGGAUGCAGACAGUUUACAGUUGGUUUCUCUGUGCAUUAUUAUUUGAGUUCGAAGCCACGGAUGCAGACUUUUUUUAGUUGGUUCUCAAUUGGGUCUGAAUAAGUUAGGCUCUGUUCUGCAUCAUCAAUUAAUGAAGUUGCUCUGCAACAAUUAAUUAUGCUGGUACCUUGGUGAAGGAACUAGUAUUGGCAUUAUGCUGGAACAUUGCAGAAAACAACUUCUUUACAUAGAAAACGUUGAAAAAAUAAAAUGUGCGAAAAUCUUGAACGGGUUUGGGUAUGUUUUCAGCAUCUCUGUAUUGCACUAGUAAUUCAUCAAUGAUUCUUAAGUUCUACCUGUGAGCACCAAAUGUUUGGGAACUCUUUUGUAAUUUGGUUAAUCAGCAUUUGUAUUGUACCACUUCCUGGUUGCCGUAUCAAAUAUUAUACCAUUGCACUAUUUAGUUACUUUUCAAAGUUGUGAUAAAUAUAGUUCUUUUUUACUUUCAAGAUAGCAUCAAAUUCAUGUCUUCCAUUUUUCUCAUCUACGCUGCGUGUAUAUAUAGAAGCACCGUUUUAGUUGCUCUGUAGGUUAUGAGUAGAACUCAACUAGCUAAUUAACAAGUGAACUCACUAUGCAUUUGCUGAAUCCAUAUUUGGAAAGUUCACUGACCCUGCUACUAUAACAAACUGCUGGUGGUGGCUCUUUCCCAGGUAGCUCAAGGUGAAGAAGGCCAUCGAGAAGGGCAACACCGACGGCGCCCAGAUCCAUGCCGAGAAUGCCAUCCGCAAGCGUACCGAGCACAUGAACUACCUCCGUCUCGCCUCCCUCUUAUACUCGAAGGAGGCUGUAUGCAAGGCACCAAGGUGCAUGGUGCUCGCAAGCGACGAACGGAGGCUGUUCGACAUCGGCUACACAAACCACCAUUGAGCUCCAGGUCUAUGAAAUUUGAAGUUCGAAGCCGUAUAGCCCUACUCAGCAAAGAGUUGUCUCUAUGUUUGACUGUAAUAGACUGCAAAUAUUGUAAUAUUGUAACAGUAGGCAUAUUGGGGUUGUAAUAGACUAUCUACAGAUUGUAGUAGACUUGGUGUUACUUGAUGAACUACAUUUGUACUGUUCCGUCUGAAAUAUUGAUUAUGUAUGAUCAAUCUAACGAGUGAGAACAAUUUAAGAUGCACCUUUGUAAUAUUGUAACAGAUUGUAAAAGACUAGUGUAUGCUUGAAAUAGUGAUUAUGUAUGUUGAAAAGAUGUGAAAUGGAAACUUGACCCGUGGGUA